rnacentral:rRNA from 1 species
GAACCCAUAAUUCAACAUUAAAACAUUCUACCCCCCUAGUAUAGGUGAUAGAAAAGGACCCCAGAGCAAUAGAAAAAGUACCGCAAGGGAAAGCUGAAAAAGAAAUGAAGUAACCCAAGAAAGCAAAGAAAAGCAGAGACUAACCCUCGUACCUUUUGCAUCAUGAUCUAGCAAGAGAGCCCAAGCAAAGAGAACUUAAGUUUGACCCCCCGAAACCAGGAGAGCUACUCCGGAGCAGCCCAAUGGGGCAAACCCGUCUCUGUAGCAAAAGAGUGGGGAGACUCCCGAGUAGAAGUGACAAGCCUACCGAACCUGGUGAUAGCUGGUUGCUCAGAAAAUGAAUAUAAGUUCAGCGCCAUGAACUUCUAACCCUAUAUAAAAAGAGGAAAGUAAGACAUAGCAGUUAGUCAAAAGGGGUACAGCCCUUUUGAAAAAGGAUACAACCUUAUUUAGGGAGGGAAAGGACUAAAACCCAAGGCAUCUUCCCCAGUGGGCCUAAAAGCAGCCACCUGG